GAGCCUCUUUCAUGGCGCCCGUAAGGGGGAAGGGGAGCGCCAUCCCGGCCCCGCGGUACCGGGGGCUGCGGACCCCCCGGCACGGCACGGCACGGCACGGCACAGCCCAGCGCUGCCGCUGGGACUCACUGCGAGCUGCUCCCUGUGCGCGGCACCUCUGCCCAAAGCAGCCCAAAGCAGCUCGAAGGUCUGCCCGCGUCCCCAGCUGCUGAGCAUCCCCAUCCCUCCACCGGGGUGUCCCCCACGCCAGCGCCCUCCGCCGCACCGGGGGGCGCGGGGGGCCCGUACUCACUCCACGAUCCUCCUGCGCCAGCGCUUGUUCUCGCUGGGGUGGUGGCGGUAGGUGCCGUAGUCGAAGAGGGAGUCCAUGGGGGCUUUCUUGGGUGCGGGGACCACGGGGGACUCGUAGAUGGUGGCCUCCAGCAGCUCCAUGGGCUUCGGGGCGCCUUUCCGAAAGGCCCCGUGGAAUUUCAUGCGGAGGUUUUGCUUUCCAUCCCCGGCACCGGGGGGACCCCGGGUUGCCUCGGCGGGGCUCGGGAUGUCCUCGCUCUCGAACAGGUUGGCCAGAGAGGAGAGCGGGAAGGAUUCGUUCUGGAGGGUGCCGUCCUCCCCCGCGCCCUCCCCGGCAUCGCGCGGGGCGUCCUCGGUGUCUGCCAUGGUCCCUGCCCGGAGGGACGGGCACGACCCACCUGCCUGCCUGUGACCCCCGGCUUCUUCCAGGAGAGCAGGAGAGCUGGCAGAGGAAAACCCCGUGUCACUCCCCAAAGACCCUCCCCAUCCUCUCCCCGGGGACCGAGCCUCGCGGCGGGACAGGUCCCACACCCACCCUGGCACAGGUUGGGGUCGGGGGGACUCCUUGAAGCUCAGAACCCCCCGGACGGUCCUGCCUUGUCCCGGCUCUCCUCAGCACCCACCGAUCGCUGCGGGGACCCCUCACGUCUGCGGGGGCCCCUCCGGCUGCGGCGCUGCCGUGCUGGGCGAGGGCGAGCCCGGCCCCGCUGCGGUCAGCCGGGGUGCAGCCCAGGACAGGGCACAGAGCAGACCCUGUGCGCUGCGAUCUGCCGCCCAAGGAAAGAAAACAUUCCUUGGGAUACUCCCCACAUCCAAGGAAGCGU
rnacentral:lncRNA from 1 species